AGAGUUUGAUCAUGGCUCAGAUUGAACGCUGGCGGCAUGCCUUACACAUGCAAGUCGAACGCGAAAGGGGGUAACCCCGAGUAGAGUGGCGAACGGGUGAGCAAUACAUCGGAACAUUUCCUGUAGCGGGGGACAACCCCGAGAAAUCGGGGCUAAUACCGCAUACGAUCUACGGAUGAAAGUGGGGGACCGCAAGGCCCCACACUAUAGGAGUGGCCGAUGCCGGAUUAGCUAGUUGGUGAGGUAACGGCCCACCAAGGCGACGAUCCGUAGCUGGUUUGAGAGAACGACCAGCCACACUGGGACUGAGACACGGCCCAGACUCCUACGGGAGGCAGCAGUGGGGAAUUUUGGACAAUGGGCGAAAGCCUGAUCCAGCCAUGCCGCGUGAGUGAAGAAGGCCUUCGGGUUGUAAAGCUCUUUCGGCGGGGACGAAAUAGCGCGGGGUAAUAUCCCGCGUCGAUGACGGUACCCGAAGAAGAAGGACCGGCUAACUACGUGCCAGCAGCCGCGGUAAUACGUAGGGUCCAAGCGUUAAUCGGAAUUACUGGGCGUAAAGCGUGCGUAGGCGGUCUCGCAAGUCCGAUGUGAAAUCCCCGGGCUUAACCUGGGAACUGCGUUGGAAACUACGAGGCUAGAGUGCGGCAGAGGGGGGUGGAAUUCCAGGUGUAGCAGUGAAAUGCGUAGAGAUCUGGAGGAACACCGAUGGCGAAGGCAGCCCCCUGGGUUAGCACUGACGCUCAUACACGAAAGCGUGGGGAGCAAACAGGAUUAGAUACCCUAGUAGUCC
rnacentral:rRNA from 1 species